rnacentral:lncRNA from 1 species
UGAGAACUCCGAACGCUCGUACACACGUAUCGUCGAUGAACCGCGAAGGUCGCGCGCCUCGCGACCGGUCGCGGUCUGCCGGCAGCGGUUUCACCCGGCCGACGGUACCAUUCGUUUUUUUUUUUCGGGCGGCAAAACACGAACAGAGCCCUAGAUCGGGUUCCGGCGUGGACUGCGCGCCGAGACGAUGCCCAUCGUCCAAAGGCUCCGACGGCUGGUGAAAGCCGGUCACGUGCGGUGUCCAUCGCGAAUUAUCGCCUCGGAGGCGCGCGAACCAGGUCGUCGCUCCGCGAUUGCGCGCGCGUCGGUUUUGGAUUUGCAGCCCUACACCCGGGAUCGGGGGGACCAAGAUCGAGAGUUUUUUUCGCUGACCGCACGAACCGUCGCUGACCCGCGCGCCCCUCUCUUUUCUCUUCUCCAGAACCCCUUUAAGCAAAAAUGGCUACCGAGGGCAAGGAGCACCUUUCCAUCGUCAUCUGCGGUCACGUCGACUCCGGUAAGUCGACCACCACCGGCCGUCUCAUCUUCGAGCUCGGAGGCAUCCCCGAGCGUGAGAUCGAGAAGCUCCGCGCUGAGGCCGAUGCC